AUCAAGCUGACGAGUCCCAAAUAGGACGAAACGCGUGUCCUGGAU
rfam:Schistosoma haematobium scaffold948_5, whole genome shotgun sequence.